GAUGAACGCUAGCGGCAGGCCUAACACAUGCAAGUCGAGGGGCAGCACGUCUUCGGAUGGUGGCGACCGGCGCACGGGUGCGUAACGCGUAUGCAACCUACCUUACACUGGGGUAUAGCCCGGAGAAAUUCGGAUUAAUCCCCCAUGGUACUUUUGAAUGGCAUCAUUUGGAAGUUAAAGUAUUACGGUGUAAGAUGGGCAUGCGUCCUAUUAGCUAGAUGGUAAGGUAACGGCUUACCAUGGCUACGAUAGGUAGGGGGCCUGAGAGGGUGGUCCCCCACACUGGUACUGAGACACGGACCAGACUCCUACGGGAGGCAGCAGUGAGGAAUAUUGGUCAAUGGGCGCAAGCCUGAACCAGCCAUGCCGCGUGCAGGAAGAAUGCCCUAUGGGUUGUAAACUGCUUUUAUUAGGAAUAAACCUUACUACGUGUAGUAAGCUGAAGGUACUGAAUGAAUAAGCACCGGCUAACUCCGUGCCAGCAGCCGCGGU
rnacentral:rRNA from 1 species